rnacentral:rRNA from 1 species
GUGGGGAAUAUUGGACAAUGGGCGAAAGCCUGAUCCAGCCAUGCCGCGUGUGUGAAGAAGGUCUUCGGAUUGUAAAGCACUUUAAGUUGGGAGGAAGGGCAGUAAGUUAAUACCUUGCUGUUUUGACGUUACCGACAGAAUAAGCACCGGCUAACUUCGUGCCAGCAGCCGCGGUAAUACGAAGGGUGCAAGCGUUAAUCGGAAUUACUGGGCGUAAAGCGCGCGUAGGUGGUUUUGUAAGUUGGAGGUGAAAUCCCCGGGCUCAACCUGGGAACUGCCUCCAAAACUGCAUGACUAGAGUACGGUAGAGGGUAGUGGAAUAUCCUGUGUAGCGGUGAAAUGCGUAGAUAUAGGAAGGAACACCAGUGGCGAAGGCGACUACCUGGACUGAUACUGACACUGAGGUGCGAAAGCGUGGGGAGCAAACAGGAUUAGAUACCCCGGUAGUCC